GGGCGAUUAGCUCAGUCGGUUAGAGCGCCACCUUUACACGGUGGAUGUCGGGGGUUCGAAUCCCUCAUCGCCCA
rnacentral:tRNA from 2 species